CAGAGAGAGAGACAUAACCUACCCCUGUACUAAGCAUUAGUAAGACCUCAUCUAGAAGAUGCAGUUUAGUUUUGGGCUCCAGUUUUCAGGGAGAAUGUUG